rnacentral:rRNA from 1 species
UUGUGAAGGAACUAGGCAAAAUGGCACCGUAACUUCGGGAGAAGGUGCGCCCUUUGGUGUGGUCACGUGCGUGACUGAGCAUCGAAGGGUCGCAGUAACCUGGCCGCUGCGACUGUUUAUCAAAAACACAGCACUCUGCAAACACGAAAGUGGACGUAUAGGGUGUGACGCCUGCCCGGUGCUGGAAGGUUAAUUGAUGGGGUCAGCCGCAAGGCGAAGCUCUUGAUCGAAGCCCCAGUAAACGGCGGCCGUAACAAUAACGGUCCUAAGGUAGCGAAAUUCCUUGUCGGGUAAGUUCCGACCUGCACGAAUGGCGUAACGACAGCGGCGCUGUCUCCACCCGAGACUCAGUGAAAUUGAAAUCGCUGUGAAGAUGCAGCGUUCCCGCGGCAAGACGGAAAGACCCCGUGAACCUUUACUAUAGCUUUACACUGAACGUUGAGUUCUUCUGUGUAGGAUAGGUGGGAGGCUAUGAAACCAGGACGCUAGUUCUGGUGGAGCCAUCCUUGAAAUACCACCCUGAAGUGCUUGACGUUCUAACCUAGGCCCGUAAUCCGGGUCAGGGACCGUGUAUGGUGGGUAGUUUGACUGGGGCGGUCUCCUCCCAAAGAGUAACGGAGGAGCACGAAGGUACGCUCAGCGCGGUCGGACAUCGCGCACUGUGUGCAAAGGCAUAAGCGUGCUUGACUGCGAGAUCGACGGAUCAAGCAGGUACGAAAGUAGGUCUUAGUGAUCCGGUGGUUCUGUAUGGAAGGGCCAUCGCUCAACGGAUAAAAGGUACUCCGGGGAUAACAGGCUGAUACCGCCCAAGAGUUCAUAUCGACGGCGGUGUUUGGCACCUCGAUGUCGGCUCAUCACAUCCUGGGGCUGUAGCCGGUCCCAAGGGUAUGGCUGUUCGCCAUUUAAAGUGGUACGCGAGCUGGGUUCAGAACGUCGUGAGACAGUUCGGUCCCUAUCUGUCGUGGGCGUUGGAGAUUUGAGGGGGGCUGCUCCUAGUACGAGAGGACCGGAGUGGACGUUCCGCUGGUGUUCGGGUUGUCAUGCCCAUGGCAUUGCCCGGUAGCUACGAACGGAAGUGAUAACCGCUGAAAGCAUCUAAGCGGGAAGCACGCCCCAAGAUGAGAUCUCCCGAGAGCUUGACUCUCCUAAAGGCACCAUCAAGACUAGGUGGUUGAUAGGUCAGGUGUGGAAGCGCAGCAAUGCGUUGAGCUAACUGAUACUAAUGAGCCGUGAGGCUUGACCAA